GCGGGCAUAGCUCAGCUGGUUCAGAGCACAUGGGUCACAACCAUGGGGCCAGGGGUUCGAAUCCCUUUGCCCGCACCA
rnacentral:tRNA from 1 species